rnacentral:misc_RNA from 1 species
AGCUGGCCACGUGCUCGGUCACGGGCCAGCGCUGGUCGCGCGCCGGCCAGGAGGCGCGCCCCACCAAGCCGCCGCUCGACCGGCGCCGCGUGCACGCGCUCAUCUCCUACGUGAGCCGGCACUUCCCCGACGUCGAGGUCAGCCGCAUCAAGCAGGUGCUCGCCUACAAGUGCAAGGAGAACUGCGCCGCGCUGCGCAUGCGCACCGCCAGGCUGUCGAACUGUUUCAGCGAGUCCAGCAACUACAUGCUGAGCGCGGCGGCGCGGCCCGACGAGCGCG